UAUAUCAUAUAAUAUCCAAUUAUUGAAUUAAUGACAGGUGGUCACACUGGUAUUAAUCUCAGAAAAGAAUAGUCACUCGUGUGUGUAUCAUCAAUGGAAGAAUAGCAAAAAAGAACUUCUGUGCUAGGAAUACAGUGCAAGUGCAAUGAAAUGAUGUAUACGAGUAAAGUGUGAAAAUUUUGCUGGAGUAGAAAAAGAAAAAUCGAAAAUAGUGAAAAGGAAAAGCAAAUAUUCUCAAUCGAAGAAGCAAUAACGAAAGUAGAAGAAAUAAAAAGACAGUCAAAAAGAAACGCGAAGAAUUUCGUCAUUGGUAGCAAAGAAAUUUUUUUUUCAGUUGAAAAAAUUAAACAAUUUGACUAAUAUAUUAAAUAAUUAGUUAAUAUACAAGUAACAAAGUAAUAUUAAACAGUUAACAUAAUGGAUAAAAACGUAUUAAUAAUGGUGCUUUAAUGGAAACAACAAAUAUCGGAAUGUCUCUUGUUACUUUACUUCACCUUGCCUGUCCGGAGCACCUUGCGUAUGUGCUUUGCACGUUUGUGGCAAUUUUCAAUUCUAUUUACAUAUAUUAUUAUUUAGAACAUAAGAAUUGAAACUAAUUGAUUUGUUAAAAACAUUUUUACUUAUAAUUGGUAUUGUCAGUAGAAAUUGUACACAAUUUACACAAAAAACACAAUAUAUUGAAAGUCAUGAAUUAAAAGAAUUGUGACAGAAUGCCUUAAAACCACUGCAGUCGCUAGUGUUCCCUGCACUUUCUUUAUAAAUAUUAAUAAUAGUAAAUCGGUUGUUGUAAGUGUGCAGGCGGCAGCUAUCGACAGAUUACAAUUUUUCUUUUUUUGUGCCAAUUUUUUUUUAUUGGACUCAUGUUCUUUUUUUAACACUAUUCUUUUUUUAUUAAGCCUUAAAGAAUUUUAUCUUUGCAUCACGUUAUCAGCGUAUUCGUCGCCUUAGUUGUACGCUUGUCCAUUUGCCAUCACCCGUCAUCAAAUCAUCAAAUAACGUCAUCGUAAGGAGCCUAAUUAAUAAGUGCCGCCGUCCGGUUAUUGCCCGUUUUAUCGAGUGUGUUUACUUUUUUUUUUAGUUAACCAUUGC